rnacentral:lncRNA from 1 species
GUCGAAGUAUCUUUGAGGGUGCUUCCCCGCGGGGUAACUCGACUGAGGCUGUUGUGGAGAGUGCUCACCGCUUUAUCUGAGGAGCCAGGGAUUUUUCUCCAGAAUGUGCCACUUUAAAGUGUUCACUUAGCGUUGGAAGUUCCCCCAACCCCCUUUGCUAGGGCCUUCGCCGCCAGGCCCGCGUGUUUCCCGUGUCGCGUCGGUCCUCGCCGCCUUUCUGAGUGUCCCCUCUCCCGGCCCGGCCCGGGACGUGGGCUGUCAGUGCUAGGCUAACGUGUGCUCUGCGUUCAACACAUUGUGUGCUUCCGGCCGCCGAGGAUGGCAUGCCCAGAAGUUCCUGUCGGCUUGCUUAAAUAGCCCAUAGCCCAUAACCAGAAGGGAAGGUUUUUGAGGAAGAGGGAUAGAAAGUUGUGAAGAGGAAAGAAGACGUUGGGUCAAGAGAGCCGCUCCAGUGAACCUACUGUGUCAUUUGAAUUCUGAAAUGAAGAAUUCUUCCGUCAAUAAACCUCCUUGCAUUGGUGUCUGCACGUUUGAAGGAACAGCCACCACUUCUAGACUUCACCGACUGGCUUGGAGGGGAAAGACCUUCACCUGCAAUUCCUGUAAAAACCGCUGCAAUCAAGACAGAACUAUUCUAUCAUCGCAAAGAUCUCCUAUCUUCUACCCCUUUAUAAUCACACGCACCCCGCACCCACCAUCCCUAACCCCUGAUAACCACUAAUCUGUUUUACAUGUAUAGUUUUGUCAUGUAAAGAAAGUUAUAGAAAUAGAAUUAUACAACAUAGGACAUUUUGAGAUUGGCAUUUUUCACUAAGAAUAAUGUCUUU